ACGGCAUAGCAGCAGAGUCGUCAACUUAGUCUUGAGAGAUUGAACGAUCGGAGCAAUUUUAGGGAGGAAGUUCGAAGGAAGCCGUUGAGCCUGAGCAGUAUAAAUAGAGAGCGGAUUCAACAGCGUUCCUGUGGUGACGUGGAAAUUCCUGGUUGGCCGCUUCCAUUCCGGUAGGUGAUUUCAUCUGGCGCAGCAGCUACAACAAUUAAUCCUUGGCAGCGAACUAUUCUAGUUCUUUUUUCCUUAAUUUAUGUUUCAAUUUGUUCUAUGUACUCGUAAUUAUCCAUUCUGUGGGUGUGCACUGCUAUGUAUAAUGCCUAGGGCUUGAUUAUUUACUAAUUGUGAUGGUUUGUUAAAUUUCCUUUCUAGAAACAUGGUGAUUUUACUGUCAACAAUUUGUAUUAAUUGAUUUAAUUUGCCAAUCAACUAAGUUUUAUCUUA